GUCGCCCCAGUGUUCAGACUACCUGUUCAGGACAAUGCCGUUGUACAGUAGUCUGCACAUUGGUUAGACUGGGCAAGGGCCAGCAACGCCAUGGACGGCUGGGGACACAAUGUGCUGCUUCCAAGGAGAGGACAGCUGGGUGCUCCUUUGUUGAAUCUCAUAUCCAGUGUUUCUCUUCACAGGUUUUGCAAACUAGGGACCAAGAAGCCCUCAGGGACUCUGCCAGGGGAGAGGACUGCUCCAGGGAAGACCAGCGGGGAUGGUGGAAUCUAGGGCAGAAGAGAGUAACCAGCAGCAAACAUCUUGCUCUGGAUAGUAUGGCUGUACCGUUCCUUUACUUGAGCAGAGUAAACUGGAUCAGAUUACUUAAGGGAGAGGGGAAAGCAAUACAGAAUUAUAGUAACUUUUAAUGGCUGCUAAUAUAUUCUUCGUAAGUGAAUCACUCUAUUAUGCUUUUCUGUUGUACUGAAUGAAACAACAAAGGAAAUAGUAUU
rnacentral:lncRNA from 1 species